AGAAUGUUCAUCAGAUUCUGUGACCAAUGACACCGAGCUGGCUGUAAGCAGCGUGAUUUUCAAUGUCCAGAAUUUGGUUACAAAUCCCAACUCCUUCCAGGCAUUGGAGUAUUCAUUGACAACGAAACACCCGGACCUGUUCGAAAUUAACUCAACUACGGGUCUAAUAAGGACCACCUCUAAGAUACCCGCUAAGUACCCGUCUACCACCUAUGUCCUGAACGCGUUUGUGACAGAUGUGGAUUCCUGUGGCACCUAUUCCGUCUGCCCUUUGUUUCUCCACGUUACAUACGUCAAUUACCCUUUGAAUAUUACCAAUCUACCAAACACGAGCCCAGUGAAAAUACUGGAGGAUGAAGACACCAACAUGUUGUUGUACACCAUAGAAACAUAU